CCUGCCCCCAGAGGCAUUGCUGGUGGGGCUUCUGUGUCACAUGUGUGUCAAUAGGUGGCAGACAGGAGAGAGGUUUUAUCUACUAUGUUCAGUGAUUCUGACCUAUGAAUAUCAGAAUAAUUAGUAGUGAAACAAU